CUUCCAAGAGAACCUUUGCCGGCUAGCAUUAUACCGGGGAAAGAAAAGCAUCUGCGUCGCCAUCCUCCCAAAACCCAAAUCGAACUCGCGGCGAUCUCUCGCCUUCCCAAACCAACAGACUCUGUACGGUCUUCUCGCUCUCGCGCCCCUCCCACAGUUUGUAGCGUGGCUAGCAGCAGCAGGGUGCCUCGCCGGCAGCUCUAAUCUUGGCACUGAGCUGUGCCUCCAACCUGUUUGAGUGAAUGCGCAGGUGGACGCGCUUGCUUUCUUCCACGCACUAGAUCUUGUGAAUUUUCCGUCUCCACCUGAUUUUGAGAUUCGCUGCUGACCAUGGCUGACGCCUCCGCCGGCGGCGGUUCCCUGGACGACUACCCAACCAUCGACCCAACCUCUUUCGACGUGGUCCUCUGCGGCACCGGCCUCCCGGAGUCCAUCCUCGCCGCUGCCUGCGCGGCCGCCGGGAAGACCGUCCUCCACGUCGACCCCGACGCCUUCUACGGCUCCUUCUACUCCUCCAUCCCGCUCCCUUCCGUCCCCUCCUUCCUCUCCGCCGACUCCUCCACCCCCUGCCCGUCCUCAACCACAGCGUCCUCCUCCGCCACCGCUGCAUACACCGCCGUCGAUCUCAAGCGCCGCAGUCUGUACUCGGAGGUUGAGACCUCGGGGACGGUUCCCGAACCGUCCAGGCGCUUCACGGUCGACCUGGUGGGUCCCAGGCUUCUGUACUGCGCCGACGAGGCCGUGGACCUUCUUCUGAGGUCAGGGGGAAGCCACCAUGUGGAGUUCAAGAGCGUGGAAGGGGGCAGCCUCAUCUACUGGGAUGGUGCGCUCUGCCCGGUGCCAGACUCUAGGCAGGCCAUCUUCAUGGACAGCACACAUCGGUCUAAGGAGAAGCUUAAUCUUAGGGAUAAUCUGAAGGAGAAGACCCUCUUGUUCAGAUUCUUCAAGCUUGUCCAGUCACACAUUGCCGCAUCGUCUCCUGGCGAUAAGGAUGGGGAGGGCGAAGCCUCUGGUAAGAUAUCCGAGGAGGACUUGGACCUCCCCUUCAUCGAAUUCCUCAAGAAACAGCAGCUUCAACCCAAGAUUAGAGCGGUUGUGCUAUAUGCAAUUGCCAUGGCAGAUUAUGAUCAAGAUGCUGCAGACUCAUGCGAGAAAUUGCUAACAACGAGAGAUGGAAUGAAGACGCUAGCUCUUUAUUCCUCGUCCAUUGGGAGGUUUGCUAAUGCCCAAGGUGCUUUCAUUUAUCCUAUGUAUGGGCAUGGCGAGCUACCGCAAGCUUUCUGUCGCUUUGCUGCUGUUAAGGGUGCCCUAUAUGUGUUGAGGAUGCCAGUCACAGCCCUUCUUGUGGACCAGGAAAAGAAGCGUUAUAUAGGCACCAGAUUGGCUUCUGGUCAGGAUAUUUUGUGCCAGCAGUUGAUACUAGGUCCCUCAUACAAAAUUCCUUCAUUGGACAUGCCAUCUGAUGCUUCAGACUCAAACUUGACGAGAAAAGUUGCCAGGGGAGUAUGCAUAAUCAGCAGCUCCAUAAAAGAGGCUUCAUCAAAUGUUCUGGUUGUUUUCCCCCCAAAAUCAUUACAAGAGCAGCAAGCUACAGCUGUUCGGGCGCUUCAGCUGAGCAGCAAUGUAGCAGUAUGCCCUCCUGGAAUGUUCAUGGUAUAUCUGUCUACUCCCUGUACCGAUGCCUUUACGGGAAAGCAGUACAUAAACAAGGCUAUGGAGGUUCUUUUCAGUACUCAGACUUCAGAUGAUUCAGAAGGCCAUUUGGAGACAACCAGCAAAAACAUCGAGGAUACAAAGCCAGUGCUAAUCUGGAGUUGUGUGUAUGUUCAAGAGAUCACACAGGGAACAUCUGGUACUGUAUUGUCAUGCCCCAUGCCUGAUGAAAACCUGGACUACAGAGAUAUACUGGAAUCAACAAAACAGUUAUUCACAGAUACUUAUCCUGAUGAAGAAUUCCUGCCUAGAAACGCAGCUCCUAAAUAUGCCGAUGAUGAAUCUGAUCUUGCAGAGUAGAAACAUGUUUGCAGAGGGUGCAUGCAUUAGCGAUGACAUGGACAGGGGCUUCACUGACAGGAAGAACUUGCUCAUGGACCGCAGGACCAUGGCUCCCAAGAUCGAUGACCUCAAGUCUCAGCCGUGCCUUUAGGGUUCCUCUCAAGAAUUACACACAAGAUUCUUACUCGAGGUACCGACCCUGAGGUCCUUCUUGGUGCCACAUGUGGUUGGUGGGCUGCAUUUUUUAAGUUGGUAUGAUGAACUGGACUUUGUAAAUGAGCACAUAUAUACACUGAAUCCUGGUAAAUGGCAGCUGAAUUUCAAGUACAGGGGACUCUUCUGCCCGAUCACAGUUUUCACACAUUAAUAACUGUAUGGCUCCAUCAGCGUGAAUUCAUUUUUCGGGGGGAAAUUUAAGUGCACAUAGCUGCAAAGAUGUGAAGAUCCAUAUCGGUCUUGUUUGAUAUUCUUUGAGUUGGUUUAGAUAGAGAGAAGUGACCUCUUUCAUGUCAAGUGCAUGUGCCAUUUACUACAGCCAAAGUGUAGACUGAUGUACGCUUAUAAUUUGUUCUUUUGCUUUUUCUUGGCUGCAUGCUUGCAUCCAAUUCAGAUUUUCCAUGUGCACUUCAGAACUAAUCAUGCCUGUACAGAUGAGAAAUUGAGCAAAUUUUUUAGUCUUUGAUAGAAACUGAACAAGUUUCUCAUGAGUUUUUUUAUAUACUUCAAGCCUACUGCUCAUCCAGCUCUAUGUGCAGUUUGGAGAUAUGCUUUAUUGAUCAUGCAACCUCCUUCUUUUCUCAUCCCUUUUAUAUUUUUAUUUCAAAUACUCUGUGUUAGCAAAAUCCUGUUGCAUGACUAGACCAACUAUCUGGUGAUUCAGGCACUACAUUAGUGAUUGGGGCAAUGGUCAGACCUGCUUGCAUGAAAAAAAGGGCAAUUUGGAUGUGCUUGCAGGAGCUCAGAACUCACCUAUUGAUGACUCACCUUGGAAACUGGUUUUUUAAAGGUCUUGGAGAUCACCUUUGGUAACAAACACUCAGGACUGCUCUAACUUAUUAUAUGAAAUAAUGUUCGGCCAUAGUAUAUUUUUUCUACACUUGAUGUUAGGCUGACAAGGCGACAGAUGCGGGGCCUUCUUCAAUUUCAAGUCACACAUGCCAUCGUCGUCCAGGUCAGUGGUGCCCCGUGCCCAUCGACGACAUCAUGCAGCUGUUCGCCAACGCCUGGAUGAAUCACUUCAAGACAUUAUUCCUUGACCAUAAUGUAGUGCCGCCCUGGACUAGCAGCUUGUCGCCUACACCUCAAUACAAUACCCAGAAGUGCAUCCGCGCCGGCAGCAAGCACAACGACCUCGACGCCAUGGGAAACAGUACUCCUUGAUGGGAACUAGACCUUCAGGUAUGAUGGGAGCUUCGAAGAGGAAGCCAACGGAUAUUCAUGGGAGCUCCUCGUCAAAGUGAGGGAUUUAGUAUAGAAAGCUACUUUACAAGUAGUCUCAAGCUGGAGGAUAACAGAUUGGUCGCGACGUUAGGGAUCCCCAUCAAUGUUAUACUAUUUGUCUCCAGUACCAUGGCAGAGGUUUCUUUUGUGCAUGGAUUUCCAAGCGCUCCGGCUGUCAUUGGCGGAAGCGUGGGUUUUAAUUGGCCAACAUUCAUCUUUUAGGCGCUGUGUUUAUGUAGAGAAUUUUACUUAACAGGUCUGGAUGGCAUCUUUUGUCAAAACAAAAUCACGUUUGUUUUUAUAUAUUUUCUGCCUGACGCGUAAAGUGUUCCAUUAUUGUUUUGCUUUUAUGUAGAAGUCCCUGGAUGAACUUACUACAAUCUUUAUUGUCAGGACACAUUGGUACUGAGCUUUCUUGCAAAGGUGCUAUGUUCUAACUGUGGUGUAUAUAGUUGUAUAGUUUAUAGUGAAAGCUGCGUUCUUGUCAGGCCACAGUAGUUGUAUAGUUUAGAUUAUACCUUGAGUUAGUUUUGUGCUUGUGGAAGUGCAGUGGCGAUUGCAAGACGGCUUGGUUCAGCUUCAUUAAUAUAGCACCAUCUUCACAAUACUGUACAUUAUAUUCUUAGACGGCUGGGUUCAACCUUGAGACCUUUGAAGUAAAAUACACUUAGUAGUUUUAAAUUUCAAGUGGCAUGGCUUACAAUAUGUAAGUGGGUUUUCCACACUUGUAACAUGAGAGAAUCUGCAUAGAUCUCAAGGUUGUCAUUCGUGGCUGAGACAAUGUUUCUAAAUCAAGGGACCCGCACUUCGUCAUUAUCUAAAUUGCGCUUGAUUAUUUUCCUAAAGGGACCUGCACUUCGUCAUUACCUAAGCGCAUCAGUUAGAAGAAAAGUUAGAGCUGACGGGAGUGGUGCCAACAGUUUCCACAAUAAUCGUCUGACAAAUAAAUAUAUAUCUUCUCAUUUUUCAGAUUUUGUUGUUCAUUUCAGUUAAAUCUAUUAGCUUACUGGUUGUGGUAUAACUAUUUCUAGAAUUUACAAUGUGGUUUCCGUGCCUAUUGAUUUAACUUGAUGAGAGAAAUGACUUCUUGGGUUCACUAUUCACUCUACAUUCUGAGUGGUUGUAACUUUUUUGCUUCUGAAGUGUCAAAGGAUACAAAAAUCAGGAUGAUAUAUUAGGCUGAGACAAUGUUUAUAAAUCAAGAGACCUGCACUUCGUCAUUAUCUAAAUUGCGCUUGAUUAUUUCCCCCCAGCAAUAUCAAGAUGAGGAUACAAGCAGAUCAAGUGUACAAGACGUGUAGUCUCCUCGUGAAGGUGGCUGAGCUAUGAAUUUGCUCUUGGUAUAUUUACCUAUGCUGGAUAUGGGGUCAGAUCUUUGGUAUGCAGGUGAAUGUAUAUGGAACAAUGAUUGCACAUAUUACAGUAAGCUAUAUUCUCUUCACAUUUAUGCAUAUUCUUGUUGGGACAAAAAAAGUGGUUAUAAUAAGCAGAUUCUUGUUGGGACCAAAAAAAGUGGUUAUAAUAAGCAGAUAUAUUUCUUCCCA